rnacentral:rRNA from 1 species
AGAGUUUGAUCAUGGCUCAGGGUUAACGCUGGCGGCGUGCCUAACACAUGCAAGUCGAACGGUUCUAAGCGCGAGCUUAGGAUAGUGGCGAACGGGUGAGUAAAAGGUAGGAAUCUACCCCUUGGACGGAGAUAGCUACUGGAAACGGUAGGUAAACUUCGAUAAGCCCGAGAGGGGAAAGUGGUGAGACAGCCGAGGGAUGAGCCUACUCUCCAUCAGGUAGUUGGUGAGAUAAAAGCUUACCAAGCCGAUGACGGAUAACCGGUGUGAGAGCAUGAACGGUCACAAGGGCACUGAGAGACGGGCCCUACUCCUACGGGAGGCAGCAGUGGGGAAUCUUGGACAAUGGGCGAAAGCCUGAUCCAGCGACGCCGCGUGGAGGAAGAAGUCCUUCGGGAUGUAAACUUCUGAACUAGCCGAAUAAAAGGCCUGUGGACACACAGGAGAAGAAAGUAGGCUAGGAAAAGUCCCGGCUAACUACGUGCCAGCAGCCGCGGUAAGACGUAGGGGGCAAGCGUUACCCGGAAUUACUGGGCGUAAAGGGGGCGUAGGCGGUAAAAGAAGUCAUCUGUGAAAACCUAUUGCUCAACGAUAGGCUAGCGGAUGAAACUGAAUUACUUGAGGGCACCAGAGGUAGACGGAAUUACCCGAGUAGGGGUGAAAUCCGCAGAUACGGGUAGGAACGCCGGUGGAGAAGUCGGUCUACUGGGGUGCACCAGACGCUGAGGCCCGAAAGCUAGGGGAGCAAACCGGAUUAGAUACCCGGGUAGUCCUAGCCGUAAACGAUGCUCACUANGUGUAGGGAGUGAUAAACUCUCUGUGCUGAAGCGAACGCGCUAAGUGAGCCGCCUGGGGAGUACGUCCGCAAGGAUGAAACUCAAAGGAAUUGACGGGGGUCCGCACAGCGGUGGAGCAUGUGGUUUAUUCGAUGGUANNGANNNCUUACCAGGGAUUGACAUGUACUGAGGUAGAGAAUCUACUGGCCUGCUGCAAGCGGGAGGUA